GAUGAACGCUGGCGGCGUGCCUAAUACAUGCAAGUCGAGCGAACAGACGAGGAGCUUGCUCCUCUGACGUUAGCGGCGGACGUGUGAGUAACACGUGGAUAACCUACCUAUAAGACUGGGAUAACUUCGGGAAACCGGCGCUAAUACCGGAUAAUAUAUUGAACCGCAUGGUUCAAUAGUGAAAUACGGUUUUUCUGUCACUUAUAGAUGGAUCCGCGCCGCAUUAGCUAGUUGGUAAGGUAACGGCUUACCAAGGCAACGAUGCGUAGCCGACCUGAGAGGGUGAUCGGCCACACUGGAACUGAGACACGGUCCAGACUCCUACGGGAGGCAGCAGUAGGGAAUCUUACGCAAUGGGCGAAAGCCUGACGGAGCAACGCCGCGUGAGUGAUGAAGGUCUUCGGAUCGUAAAACUCUGUUAUUAGGGAAGAACAAAUGUGUAAGUAACUAUGCACGUCUUGACGGUACCUAAUCAGAAAGCCACGGCUAACUACGUG
rnacentral:rRNA from 1 species